rnacentral:rRNA from 1 species
GCGACAGAAGAGACACCGGCUAACUCCGUGCCAGCAGCCGCGGUAAUACGGAGGGUGCGAGCGUUAAUCGGAAUUACUGGGCGUAAAGCGCAUGCAGGUGGUUUGUUAAGUCAGAUGUGAAAGCCCGGGGCUCAACCUCGGAAUUGCAUUUGAAACUGGCAGACUAGAGUACUGUAGAGGGGGGUAGAAUUUCAGGUGUAGCGGUGAAAUGCGUAGAGAUCUAGGAGAAUACCGGUGGCGAAGGCGGCCCCCUGGACAGAUACUGACACUCAGAUGCGAAAGCGUGGGGAGCAAACAGGAUUAGAUACCCUGGUAGUCCACGCGCUAAACGAUGUCUACUUGGAGGUUGUGGCCUUGAGCCGUGGCUUUCGGAGCUAACGCGUUAAGUAGACCGCCUGGGGAGUACGGUCGCAAGAUUAAAACUCAAAUGAAUUGACGGGGGCCCGCACAAGCGGUGGAGCAUGUGGUUUAUAUCGAUGCAACGCGAAGAACCUUACCUACUCUUGACAUCCAGAGAACUUUCCAGAGAUGGAUUGGUGCCUUCGGGAACUCUGAGACAGGUGCUGCAUGGC